CCUACGGGGGGCAGCAGUGAGGAAUAUUGGUCAAUGGACGAGAGUCUGAACCAGCCAAGUCGCGUGAAGGAUGACUGCCCUAUGGGUUGUAAACUUCUUUUAUAAAGGAAUAAAACGAGGCACGUGUGCCUUUUUGCAUGUACUUUAUGAAUAAGGAUCGGCUAACUCCGUGCCAGCAGCCGCGGUAAUACGGAGGAUCCGAGCGUUAUCCGGAUUUAUUGGGUUUAAAGGGAGCGUAGAUGGGUUGUUAAGUCAGUUGUGAAAGUUUGCGGCUCAACCGUAAAAUUGCAAUUGAUACUGGCAGUCUUGAGUACAGGUGAGGUAGGCGGAAUUCGUGGUGUAGCGGUGAAAUGCUUAGAUAGCACGAAGAACCCCGAUGGCGAAGGCAGCUUACUAAACUGUGACUGACAUUGAUGCUCGAAAGUGUGGGUAGCAAACAGGAUUAGAUACCCUAGUAGUC
rnacentral:rRNA from 1 species